rnacentral:rRNA from 1 species
GAUGAACGCUGGCGGCGUGCCUAAUACAUGCAAGUCGAGCGAACAGACGAGGAGCUUGCUCCUCUGACGUUAGCGGCGGACGGGUGAGUAACACGUGGAUAACCUACCUAUAAGACUGGGAUAACUUCGGGAAACCGGAGCUAAUACCGGAUAAUAUAUUGAACCGCAUGGUUCUAUAGUGAAAGACGGUUUUGCUGUCACUUAUAGAUGGAUCCGCGCCGCAUUAGCUAGUUGGUAAGGUAACGGCUUACCAAGGCAACGAUGCGUAGCCGACCUGAGAGGGUGAUCGGCCACACUGGAACUGAGACACGGUCCAGACUCCUACGGGAGGCAGCAGUAGGGAAUCUUCCGCAAUGGGCGAAAGCCUGACGGAGCAACGCCGCGUGAGUGAUGAAGGUCUUCUGAUCGUAAAACUCUGUUAUUAGGGAAGAACAAAUGUGUAAGUAACUAUGCACGUCUUGACGGUACCUAAUCAGAAAGCCACGGCUAACUACGUG